AAGGACAACCUGCUCAGAGCCCGCUGGAUCUCCAAAUAAGACGGAGGCAUAGGCCCACAACUCAUAGCACGUUGCUGGUCACCCCCAGAAGAUAUUCACAACAUAACACCAGUCGAGGUCGACAUGAUCAACACAGAAUCCCUGAAUCUUCACAGAUGUUAAACCGUGAUAACAGGCUUCAUGAUCGUGUUCAUUAUCAAGGUGGUAAUCCAUACCCAAGGUUAACCAGCGACACUAUGAGACGU